UUUCCUCCGUGAUGAGGCCUGGAAUGAGCACCAGCGCUGGUGCCUGAAUCCCACUGUGGAACCAUUCCCUGUUGCCUUCCUUCUGAGAACAGU
ensembl:snoRNA